rnacentral:rRNA from 1 species
GAUGAACGCUGGCGGCGUGCCUAAUACAUGCGAGUCGAGCGAACAGACGAGGAGCUUGCUCCUCUGACGUUAGCGGCGGACGGGUGAGUAACACGUGGAUAACCUACCUAUAAGACUGGGAUAACUUCGGGAAACCGGAGCUAAUACCGGAUAAUAUAUUGAACCGCAUGGUUCAAUAGUGAAAGACGGUUUUGCUGUCACUUAUAGGUGGAUCCGCGCCGCAUUAGCUAGUUGGUAAGGUAACGGCUUACCAAGGCAACGAUGCGUAGCCGACCUGAGAGGGUGAUCGGCCACACUGGAACUGAGACACGGUCCAGACUCCUACGGGAGGCAGCAGUAGGGAAUCUUCCGCAAUGGGCGAAAGCCUGACGGAGCAACGCCGCGUGAGUGAUGAAGGUCUUCGGAUCGUAAAACUCUGUUAUUAGGGAAGAACAAAUGCGUAAGUAACUAUGCACGUCUUGACGGUACCUAAUCAGAAAGCCACGGCUAACUACGUG